rnacentral:rRNA from 1 species
UGGUUGUCGUCAGCUCGUGUCGUGAGAUGUGGUUAAGUCCCGCAACGAGCGCAACCCCUAUUGUUAGUUGCCAUCAUUCAGUUGGGCACUCUAGCGAGACUGCCGGUAAUAAACCGGAGGAAGGUGGGGAUGACGUCAAAUCAUCAUGCCCCUUAUGACCUGGGCUACACACGUGCUACAAUGGUUGGUACAACGAGUUGCGAGUCGGUGACGGCGAGCUAAUCUCUUAAAGCCAAUCUCAGUUCGGAUUGUAGGCUGCAACUCGCCUACAUGAAGUCGGAAUCGCUAGUAAUCGCGGAUCAGCACGCCGCGGUGAAUACGUUCCCGGGCCUU